UACGUAGGGUGCAAGCGUUAAUCGGAAUUACUGGGCGUAAAGCGUGCGCAGGCGGCUUGCAAGACAGAUGUGAAAUCCCCGGGCUUAACCUGGGAACUGCAUUUGUGACUGCAUGGCUAGAGUGCGGCAGAGGGGGAUGGAAUUCCGCGUGUAGCAGUGAAAUGCGUAGAUAUGCGGAGGAACACCGAUGGCGAAGGCAAUCCCCUGGGCCUGCACUGACGCUCAUGCACGAAAAGCGUGGGGAGCAAACAGG
rnacentral:rRNA from 1 species